GGGGAAUAUUGCACAAUGGGCGAAAGCCUGAUGCAGCGACGCCGCGUGAGGGAUGACGGCCUUCGGGUUGUAAACCUCUUUCAGUAGGGAAGAAGCGGAAGUGACGGUACCUGCAGAAGAAGCGCCGGCUAACUACGUGCCAGCAGCCGCGGUAAGACGUAGGGCGCGAGCGUUGUCCGGAUUUAUUGGGCGUAAAGAGCUCGUAGGCGGCUUGUCGCGUCGAAUGUGAAAACUCGGGGCUCAACUCCGAGCUUGCAUUCGAUACGGGCAGGCUAGAGUUCGGUAGGGGAGACUGGAAUUCCUGGUGUAGCGGUGAAAUGCGCAGAUAUCAGGAGGAACACCGGUGGCGAAGGCGGGUCUCUGGGCCGAUACUGACGCUGAGGAGCGAAAGCGUGGGGAGCGAA
rnacentral:rRNA from 1 species